UUUUGCCAAACCAAUUUCCUUCUUCUUUCAUGCAUCUGAUAUUUGGUAAUUUUAUUUAAUUUCUUUCCUGUGUUUUAGAUAUACUGUACGAUUUCAAGGAUAAGCAGGGUAACCUCAAGCAAAGUCUCUGUAAAGAUACAAAAGGAUUGUUACAAUUAUAUGAAGUUUGAUUCCUCUUGGACGAAACUGAAAGCACUUUUCUAGAGUGUGCAAAUAAAUUCGCAAUGUCACAUCUACAGAAUUAUUAUCUCAAGAAUAAAUAUAAUAGGAGUAAUCAAGACAAUCCGACAGUCGCAUUAGUGGGCCAUGCACUGAAACUUCCUUUGUAUUGGAUGAUGUUGAAAGUUGAGACAAGUUGGUACCUUAACAUUUAUGAGAAUAUUUCAAAUGCUAAUCCUCUUCUGCUGGAGCUGGCCAAGUUGGACUUCAACAUUGUUCAAGCAACACAUCAAGAAGAUUUGAAAAUCCUGUCAAGUUUUCAUGUAAAGAUGGUGGAAGAGCACACGCCUUGCAGUAAAGUUGCCAUUUUUAAGGGAUAGACUGGUGGAGGCUUUAUUUUUUGCAGUGGGGAUAAUAUUUGAGCCUCAGCACAGCUACUACCGAAGAACGUUGACAAAAGUCAUUGCUUUUGUUGCAGUCAUAGAUGAUAUUUAUGAUGUUUAUGGCACACCUGAUGAGUUGGAAGUCUUCACUAAUGCUUUUGAAAGAUGGGAGACAGAAGCAAUGGAACAACUUCCAGAUUAUAUGAAAGUAUGUUAUCUUGAGCUCUUCAAUACAACCAAUGAAAUAGCUUAUGAGGUUCUCAAUGAGUAAGGGAUCAACAUUCUACCCUACCUUAUAAAAUCUUGAGCAGAUUUGUGCAAAUCUUACCUACAAGAAGCAAGGUGGUACUACAAUAGAUAUACGCCAACUCUGGAAGAAUACAUGAAUAAUGCAUGGAUCUCAGUUGCAGUUCCUAUGG